rnacentral:misc_RNA from 1 species
AUUUUCUACUUUAUCUUUAUUUUCCUAAUGUAUUGGAUUUAGUUUAAAUUUUUAUUUAGUAGAGCUAUUUCCCUAUUAGGAUUGGAAGUCUAAAACUCUAGAUACUCCCAAAAUUAUGUUUUUCAGAUUCAGAUUUUAAUUAAUAAAUUUUCGGCAGAGAUUUUACUCUCAAAUUCUGUCUCUCACAUGCAUGUGUGAGUGUGCGUGUGUGUGUGUGUGAGAG